UUAAGCGACUAAGCGUACACGGUGGAUGCCCUGGCAGUCAGAGGCGAUGAAGGACGUGCUAAUCUGCGAUAAGCGUCGGUGAGGUGAUAUGAACCGUUAUAACCGGCGAUUUCCGAAUGGGGAAACCCAGUGUGUUUCGACACACUAUCAUUAACUGAAUCCAUAGGUUAAUGAGGCGAACCGGGGGAACUGAAACAUCUAAGUACCCCGAGGAAAAGAAAUCAACCGAGAUUCCCCCAGUAGCGGCGAGCGAACGGGGAGGAGCCCAGAGCCUGAAUCAGUGUGUGUGUUAGUGGAAGCGUCUGGAAAGGCGUGCGAUACAGGGUGACAGCCCCGUACACAAAAAUGCACAUAUUGUGAGCUCGAUGAGUAGGGCGGGACACGUGGUAUCCUGUCUGAAUAUGGGGGGACCAUCCUCCAAGGCUAAAUACUCCUGACUGACCGAUAGUGAACCAGUACCGUGAGGGAAAGGCGAAAAGAACCCCGGCGAGGGGAGUGAAAAAGAACCUGAAACCGUGUACGUACAAGCAGUGGGAGCCUCUUUAUGGGGUGACUGCGUACCUUUUGUAUAAUGGGUCAGCGACUUAUAUUCUGUAGCAAGGUUAACCGAAUAGGGGAGCCGAAGGGAAACCGAGUCUUAACUGGGCGUUAAGUUGCAGGGUAUAGACCCGAAACCCGGUGAUCUAGCCAUGGGCAGGUUGAAGGUUGGGUAACACUAACUGGAGGACCGAACCGACUAAUGUUGAAAAAUUAGCGGAUGACUUGUGGCUGGGGGUGAAAGGCCAAUCAAACCGGGAGAUAGCUGGUUCUCCCCGAAAGCUAUUUAGGUAGCGCCUCGUGAAUUCAUCUCCGGGGGUAGAGCACUGUUUCGGCAAGGGGGUCAUCCCGACUUACCAACCCGAUGCAAACUGCGAAUACCGGAGAAUGUUAUCACGGGAGACACACGGCGGGUGCUAACGUCCGUCGUGAAGAGGGAAACAACCCAGACCGCCAGCUAAGGUCCCAAAGUCAUGGUUAAGUGGGAAACGAUGUGGGAAGGCCCAGACAGCCAGGAUGUUGGCUUAGAAGCAGCCAUCAUUUAAAGAAAGCGUAAUAGCUCACUGGUCGAGUCGGCCUGCGCGGAAGAUGUAACGGGGCUAAACCAUGCACCGAAGCUGCGGCAGCGACACUAUGUGUUGUUGGGUAGGGGAGCGUUCUGUAAGCCUGUGAAGGUGGCCUGUGAGGGUUGCUGGAGGUAUCAGAAGUGCGAAUGCUGACAUAAGUAACGAUAAAGCGGGUGAAAAGCCCGCUCGCCGGAAGACCAAGGGUUCCUGUCCAACGUUAAUCGGGGCAGGGUGAGUCGACCCCUAAGGCGAGGCCGAAAGGCGUAGUCGAUGGGAAACAGGUUAAUAUUCCUGUACUUGGUGUUACUGCGAAGGGGGGACGGAGAAGGCUAUGUUGGCCGGGCGACGGUUGUCCCGGUUUAAGCGUGUAGGCUGGUUUUCCAGGCAAAUCCGGAAAACCAAGGCUGAGGCGUGAUGACGAGGCACUACGGUGCUGAAGCGACAAAUGCCCUGCUUCCAGGAAAAGCCUCUAAGCAUCAGGUAACAUCAAAUCGUACCCCAAACCGACACAGGUGGUCAGGUAGAGAAUACCAAGGCGCUUGAGAGAACUCGGGUGAAGGAACUAGGCAAAAUGGUGCCGUAACUUCGGGAGAAGGCACGCUGAUAUGUAGGUGAAGCGACUUGCUCGUGGAGCUGAAAUCAGUCGAAGAUACCAGCUGGCUGCAACUGUUUAUUAAAAACACAGCACUGUGCAAACACGAAAGUGGACGUAUACGGUGUGACGCCUGCCCGGUGCCGGAAGGUUAAUUGAUGGGGUUAGCGGUAACGCGAAGCUCUUGAUCGAAGCCCCGGUAAACGGCGGCCGUAACUAUAACGGUCCUAAGGUAGCGAAAUUCCUUGUCGGGUAAGUUCCGACCUGCACGAAUGGCGUAAUGAUGGCCAGGCUGUCUCCACCCGAGACUCAGUGAAAUUGAACUCGCUGUGAAGAUGCAGUGUACCCGCGGCAAGACGGAAAGACCCCGUGAACCUUUACUAUAGCUUGACACUGAACAUUGAGCCUUGAUGUGUAGGAUAGGUGGGAGGCUUUGAAGUGUGGACGCCAGUCUGCAUGGAGCCGACCUUGAAAUACCACCCUUUAAUGUUUGAUGUUCUAACGUUGGCCCGUAAUCCGGGUUGCGGACAGUGUCUGGUGGGUAGUUUGACUGGGGCGGUCUCCUCCUAAAGAGUAACGGAGGAGCACGAAGGUUGGCUAAUCCUGGUCGGACAUCAGGAGGUUAGUGCAAUGGCAUAAGCCAGCUUGACUGCGAGCGUGACGGCGCGAGCAGGUGCGAAAGCAGGUCAUAGUGAUCCGGUGGUUCUGAAUGGAAGGGCCAUCGCUCAACGGAUAAAAGGUACUCCGGGGAUAACAGGCUGAUACCGCCCAAGAGUUCAUAUCGACGGCGGUGUUUGGCACCUCGAUGUCGGCUCAUCACAUCCUGGGGCUGAAGUAGGUCCCAAGGGUAUGGCUGUUCGCCAUUUAAAGUGGUACGCGAGCUGGGUUUAGAACGUCGUGAGACAGUUCGGUCCCUAUCUGCCGUGGGCGCUGGAGAACUGAGGGGGGCUGCUCCUAGUACGAGAGGACCGGAGUGGACGCAUCACUGGUGUUCGGGUUGUCAUGCCAAUGGCACUGCCCGGUAGCUAAAUGCGGAAGAGAUAAGUGCUGAAAGCAUCUAAGCACGAAACUUGCCCCGAGAUGAGUUCUCCCUGACUCCUUGAGAGUCCUGAAGGAACGUUGAAGACGACGACGUUGAUAGGCCGGGUGUGUAAGCGCAGCGAUGCGUUGAGCUAACCGGUACUAAUGAACCGUGAGGCUUAACCUU
rnacentral:rRNA from 13 species